rnacentral:rRNA from 1 species
AUGAUGGAUGUUGCAGGUUCAUUGAUGACAUCCAAGGGUACAUUCUCGGAAACGACUACAUCUUGCUCCAUGUUGUCGGGUCAACUAAAGUCCUUAAUCAUGAGGAGAUGGGACACGUCGAUUGUUAGAGUACACUUGACAGAUGCAUUUUGUGAAAUUCUAGCCAAAAGAUUGAUAGCAUGCUUGCCUGCUUGUUCUUUUCAGUUCAAAUAA